AGAUAAGUCCACAGACGACAGAGGACAGGAGCUGCAGACACAAUGAUGACGUUUUGAGCAGAAAAGGGAAGUGACUGUGGAAAUGUGGAAACAUCUGUCUGUAAGCCAAGUGAUAAAUACUAAGAAAUGAUAAAAUAUUGCCCUGAAUAGACGGAACAAGAGACAGAGGAGCAGUAUGGAGGUUUCAGAUCUAAUCCAAAGAAGGAAUCUAAGUUAUGCUUCGUCACAUGGUUUGGCGCACAGCACUGGAAUGAACGCAGCAAAGACACAAAGAGCGGCUGUCAAUCUCAGGUACAGAAACCGCACAAGGACAGAUGCCAUGGAGAUAUCAUAGAGUCAGCCGAUCGGUCGGCUUGUUGUUGGUGACGGAAAUCUGCCCCACCGCAGGCGAUGUUCCUUUCUGAUAAUUUUCAGCAUGAAGACCAGAGGUCGCCUUGUCGGCCAGCAUCUUUGCUCCUCACAUGCUGCCUCAUGCGACAGCAUGCAGAGAUCUUUCUGCAGGAGUUCAGUCACAUGACGCAGGGAGACGCACAGUAAUGACUGUGACCGAGAGCAGCCUCCAUUCUCAGAUGGAGCAACAUCAAUUGUUGUUGCACUUGGAGUUUCUUCUUCUUUUUCUUUUGCGUGUUUUAUUUUGUAGAUCAGAGAAUAUCCCGUGUUUAUUUUUCUAUUAAAAUGCACACUGAUGUUCAAAAUA